GGGCGAUUCAUGGGCGCAGCCUGACGAAGCGACGCCGUGUGAGUGAUGAAGGCCUUCGGGUUGUAAAGCUCUUUCGCUUGGGAACAAGAGAGAUGCGUGAAUAGCGUGUCGAUUUGAGGGUACCAGGUAAAGAAGCACCGGCUAACUCCGUGCCAGCAGCUGCGGUAAUACGGAGGGUGCAAGCAUUAAUCGGAAUUAUUGGGCGUAAAGGGCGCGUAGGCGGGUCACUAAGUCAGAUGUGAAAUUCCGAAGCUCAACUUCGGAGCUGCAUUUGAAACUGGAGAUCUAGAGGGAUGGCGGAGAAAAUGGAAUUCCACGUGUAGCGGUGAAAUGCGUAGAUAUGUGGAGGAACACCUGUGGCGAAAGCGAUUUUCUAGCUUAGACCUGACGCUGAGGCGCGAGAGCAAGGGGAGCAAACAGGAUUAGAUACCCUGGUAGUCCUUGCCGUAAACGAUGUAUACUUGAUGUAGUUAGGCUCAACCCUGACUGUGUCGAAGCGAACGCGAUAAGUAUACCGCCUGAGGAGUACGCUCGCAAGGG
rnacentral:rRNA from 1 species